AGUGAACGCUGGCGGUAGGCCUAACACAUGCAAGUCGAACGGCAGCACAGUAAGAGCUUGCUCUUACGGGUGGCGAGUGGCGGACGGGUGAGGAAUACAUCGGAAUCUACUUUUUCGUGGGGGAUAACGUAGGGAAACUUACGCUAAUACCGCAUACGACCUACGGGUGAAAGCAGGGGAUCUUCGGACCUUGCGCGAUUGAAUGAGCCGAUGUCGGAUUAGCUAGUUGGCGGGGUAAAGGCCCACCAAGGCGACGAUCCGUAGCUGGUCUGAGAGGAUGAUUCAGCACACUGGGACUGAGAAACCGGCCCGACCUCCAACGGGGGCAAGAGUGGGGAAUAUUUGACCAAUGGGCGAAGCCCUGUCCAGCCAUACCGCGUGGGUGAAGAAGGCCUUCGGGUUGUAAAGCCCUUUUGUUGGGAAAGAAAAGCAGCAGGUUAAUACCCCGCUGUUCUGACGGUACCCAAAGAAUAAGCACCGGCUAACUUCGUG
rnacentral:rRNA from 1 species